rnacentral:rRNA from 1 species
CGCGUAGGCGGCGUUUUAAGUCGGGGGUGAAAGCCUGUGGCUCAACCACAGAAUGGCCUUCGAUACUGGGACGCUUGAGUAUGGUAGAGGUUGGUGGAACUGCGAGUGUAGAGGUGAAAUUCGUAGAUAUUCGCAAGAACACCGGUGGCGAAGGCGGCCAACUGGACCAUUACUGACGCUGAGGCGCGAAAGCGUGGGGAGCAAACAGGAUUAGAUACCCCCGUA